rnacentral:rRNA from 1 species
GUCUACGGUCAUACCAGCCUGAACACGCCCACUCUCAUCUGAUCUUGGAAACCAAGCAGGGUCAAGCCUACACAGUCCCUGGAUGGGCGAGUUUCAAGUCAAAUUUCUUAAGUGUAUGUU